AACCAUCUGUGGUUCCUCCCCGGCAGAGGCGCAGGAGGCAGGAAGAAGCGAGAAACUGGGAAGAUGAAACGUGCUUUUGUUAACGGGCAUGAAAAGUUAUCUCCCACAUCUCCGUUUUUUACUCUGUUUUUCUAAAUCACCCAGCACAAACUGUAGUGAGGUAGUUUUUUUCCUUUUAUCCCCAUGGGGGUUUCAGAAAAUUUUCCCACUGGGCUCUAAAGAUUAAAUGAUUCCAGCUGCAUGAAUAUGACCACUAAGCAAGAGCCAGAGCUGAGACAUUUCUUCCUGGAUAGAAGGUCAGUGCCCAGGUAUACAAGCCACGGGAACCAAAGGAACAGGACAACAGUAACCAGAUUGUGUCGUAGGGUGUUCGGGGUGAGUGGCCAUUAGCGAGGCAUCACUCAAAGGUAUGUCUGUGGCAGCAGAAGCCAAUUAAAACAUGUCUUGCAAGCUCA